UGUAGGUCGUGGACCCAUCCCUAAGUCCCUCUUACCAGAAGAAAGACACGCACCUCACAGGGGAGGAAGGAACUGGAGCAAUAAUGUGGAGCUGGGAGACAAGGACUCAAGGGCUAGCCUUGGGAAACAAGCCCCGCCAGCCUGAUCAUCACGGAAUUUAAACAGACAACAAAGUCGAGAUCCCACAAGACCAAGAUAGAAAGAAAGAUCACAGUUCACACAUUCUCCAGGCUGUGUGGCUCAGAGGAAGAGAGAGGCAUUUAUUCCCUAGGCUGGUGGUGGAGUGGGUGGAUGGCCGGUGGCUUUCCUGUGGAUCAAUGAAAGAAGAGGAUAGAAGUUGGAGUUCCCAAUCCAGCAGAGGGAGAGGAGGGAACAUUCUAUACACCAUGAAUGGAUGGUACAUACGUGUGCACGUGUACACACACACACACACACACACACUCACUCACUCACACCCACCCACUCACUCACGCACACACACUCACACACACACUCACACACACACAUACUCACACACACACACACACACACACACAUUCAUGCACACACAUGCAGGUGUACCUGUACACACAUAAAGGUGUGACACACACUCAUGCACACACGUACAGGUAUGCCUGUACACACAGGCACACAUACUCAUGCCCAUACACAAAUACACCUGCACAUAUGUAAUACACCACAGUACACACGUGCAUAUUCUUACAUGCACAGCACACCCACAUGCAUGAACACGCACACACACAUACACACCCACUAGAGCAGUUUAAAGGAACUAUCCCUGCAACUGAAAGCACUGUUGGUUUUUAACAAAAUCUCAAGUGGGCAAUUUUAUCAAUGAAGACUUGGGAACCAGGUGCUAGGGGUGAAAGCCUGCUAGUUCAGAGAAGCAGAGAAAGCACCGAGCUGACCCUCCUCCACAGCCGACAUCCCCAAAGGAAAGCUCUCCUACUCUAUGCCUUCUCAAAAC
rnacentral:lncRNA from 1 species